rnacentral:tRNA from 2 species
GAGCCAUUAGCUCAGUUGGUAGAGCAUCUGACUUUUAAUCAGAGGGUCAGAGGUUCGAACCCGUCAUUCUCCACCA